UACGGAGGGUGCGAGCGUUGUCCGGAAUCACUGGGCGUAAAGGGCGCGUAGGCGGCGCGGGCAGUCAACGGUGAAAGCUUGGGGCUCAACCCCGAGUCGGCCGUCGAUACUCCCGCGCUCGAGCACUGUAGAGGCAGGUGGAAUUCCGGGUGUAGCGGUGGAAUGCGUAGAGAUUAGGAAGAACACCAGUGGCGAAGGCGACUUACUGGACUGUAACUGACGCUGAGGCAUGAAAGCGUGGGGAGCAAACAGG
rnacentral:rRNA from 1 species